UGACCCCCAGCCCGCCCUGUCAGCAGGGCAGGGCUUUCCCUGACCCCCAGCCCGCCCUGUAAGCAGGGCAGGGCUUUCCCUGACCCCCAGCCCGCCCUGUAAGCAGGGCAGAGCUUUCCCUGACCCCCAGCCCGCCCUGUAAGCAGGGCAGGGCUUUUCCCCCUGGCACCUUUGUGCCUGCUUAUGACCCCUGGCCAGAGUGACCCCCUGUAGCUGGGGCGUGUCACGGCCUUGGUCCCUGGGCCAGUUGUGAAGCCCCUCUGUGUACUGAGGCCCCUCUGGCCUCUGCAGAGCCCGGGGCAGGGCUGAGGCUCUGCUCUCCUGCCCAGAGGGAGGGAUGGCUCCCCACGCGUUGGCUGCACAGAGCCUGCUCCCUCUUCUGGGACGUUCCCCCUUUGUGUUUUUGUCUUUGUCGGUGUGAGUGAGCAAGUGAGCUUGUGUUUCAUCCCCCGUAGCAAAAGUGAGACUAGUGUAGCUUAGACUUCCCAGGAGGGAAAGAGGGGCUCUGUGCAACAACCGGGGGGUGCCCUCUGAACCCACGGGUGGAGACAGGGCCCAGCCUUGCCCCUUCUUCCCCAGGACAGAGCGAAGCCCGUUAGUGGUGGUGCAGGCACCGUGACCCGCCUGUAGCCAGGGCCUGGGCGUGUGCCUGCGCUGCGGGGCUGCCUGUCCUGCUGGUGAUGUGCCAGCGUGAUCCCCCCCCCCGGCCUUAGGCCGUCAGGCCACUGUUGGGAGUGCCGGGCCUCGGGGGCGGCCCUGUAAGUGGGGCUUUGUGCGUCCCCCGUGCCCGGCGGGCGGUUGGAGGGACCCUCUGUAACCAGGCGGGUGUCCCGUGGGGUCCCCACCCUUUCACAGGCGUGGGGCUGGGCGUGUGCCCUCCCUGUCCUCGGGGGAAGGCAGAGCUCCGUGGCUCCCUGGGUGUGAACCCGCCUGUAAGCAGGGUCCGGGUCUGGGAGCCUUUGUGCUCCCUCAGCUGGCAGCCUGUGCGGGGCGACCGCCCCGUUAGCGGGGAGCGGGUCAGGUGCCCCCGAAGCGGAGAGAAGGAGCCUCCGCGGGCCUUUGGGCCCAGGGCUGCCCUGUAAGUCGGGGCCAGUGCCCUGGAGUCCCGGGCACUUUGCGCUCCAGGCAGCGGCCGGAGCCCCCUGUAAGCAGGGGUGCAGCCUCUUUGGCCACUGCUUUGCAUGCCCAGCUGCCUUUGCCCAGAGGGCCCGGCUCCCAGCAGCGGAUGGGACUGCGUCGCUCUGAAGCCGUCGGAGAAGAAAGAAGAGCCAGGACUGGAACUUUGAGGCAAGAGCGAAGAAGAGGAGCAGCAGCGUCGAGCUCAAGAGGGAGCACGACAGAGACCCUCUGGGCAAAUGCACCUCCCUGGCCCCCCCCGGGCAGGGAUCCGUAAGAGUCCGGCGGUCAGCUUCAGGCUGCCCCGGCUGGCUUUGCGCUGGGCGACCUCCCUGUAAGCAGGGCUGGGUCUUUGCUUUGCUUUGCUGGCCUUUGGCCAUGGCGCUCCUUUGGCUGCCCGGAGAGAGGGGCAACCCUGUAAGGAGGGUGAGAGCCCCCCUCUCCGCACCCAAGGGGGGAAACGGAGCUCUCCCGACCCCCAGCCCGCCCUGUCAUCAGGGCAGGGCUUUCCCUGACCCCCAGCCCGCCCUGUCAUCAGGGCAGGGCUUUCCCUGACCCCCAGCCCGCCCUGUCCUCAGGGCAGGGCUUUCCCUGACCCCCAGCCCGCCCUGUCCUCAGGGCAGGGCUUUCCCUGACCCCCAGCCCGCCCUGUCAUCAGGGCAGGGCUUUCCCUGACCCCCAGCCCGCCCUGUAAGCAGGGCAGGGCUUUUCCCCCUGGCACCUUUGUGCCUGCUUAUGACCCCUGGCCAGAGUGACCCCCUGUAUCUGGGGCGUGUCACGGCCUUGGUCCCUGGGCCAGUUGUGAAGCCCCUCCGUGUGCUGAGGCCCCUCUGGCCUCUGCAGAGCCCGGGGCAGGGCUGAGGCUCUGCUCUCCUGCCCAGAGGGAGGGAUGGCUCCCCACGCGUUGGCUGCACAGAGCCUGCUCCCUCUUCUGGGACGUUCCCCCUUUGUGUUUUUGUCUUUGUCGGUGUGAGUGAGCAAGUGAGCUUGUGUUUUAUCCCCCGUAGCAAAAGUGAGACUAGUGUAGCUUAGACUUCCCAGGAGGGAAAGAGGGGCUCUGUGCAACAACCGGGGGGUGCCCUCUGAACCCACGGGUGGAGACAGGGCCCAGCCUUGCCCCUUCUUCCCCAGGACAGAGCGAAGCCCGUUAGUGGUGGUGCAGGCACCGUGACCCGCCUGUAGCCAGGGCCUGGGCGUGUGCCUGCGCUGCGGGGCUGCCUGUCCUGCUGGUGAUGUGCCAGCGUGAUCCCCCCCCCCGGCCUUAGGCCGUCAGGCCACUGUUGGGAGUGCCGGGCCUCGGGGGCGGCCCUGUAAGUGGGGCUUUGUGCGUCCCCCGUGCCCGGCGGGCGGUUGGAGGGACCCUCUGUAACCAGGCGGGUGUCCCGUGGGGUCCCCACCCUUUCACAGGUGUGGGGCUGGGCGUGUGCCCUCCCUGUCCUCGGGGGAAGGCAGAGCUCCGUGGCUCCCUGGGUGUGAACCCGCCUGUAAGCAGGGUCCGGGUCUGGGAGCCUUUGUGCUCCCUCAGCUGGCAGCCUGUGCGGGGCGACCGCCCCGUUAGCGGGGAGCGGGUCAGGUGCCCCCGAAGCGGAGAGAAGGAGCCUCCGCGGGCCUUUGGGCCCAGGGCUGCCCUGUAAGUCGGGGCCAGUGCCCUGGAGUCCCGGGCACUUUGCGCUCCAGGCAGCGGCCGGAGCCCCCUGUAAGCAGGGGUGCAGCCUCUUUGGCCACUGCUUUGCAUGCCCAGCUGCCUUUGCCCAGAGGGCCCGGCUCCCAGCAGCGGAUGGGACUGCGUCGCUCUGAAGCCGUCGGAGAAGAAAGAAGAGCCAGGACUGGAACUUUGAGGCAAGAGCGAAGAAGAGGAGCAGCAGCGUCGAGCUCAAGAGGGAGCACGACAGAGACCCUCUGGGCAAAUGCACCUCCCUGGCCCCCCCCGGGCAGGGAUCCGUAAGAGUCCGGCGGUCAGCUUCAGGCUGCCCCGGCUGGCUUUGCGCUGGGCGACCUCCCUGUAAGCAGGGCUGGGUCUUUGCUUUGCUUUGCUGGCCUUUGGCCAUGGCGCUCCUUUGGCUGCCCGGAGAGAGGGGCAACCCUGUAAGGAGGGUGAGAGCCCCCCUCUCCGCACCCAAGGGGGGAAACGGAGCUCUCCCGACCCCCAGCCCGCCCUGUCAUCAGGGCAGGGCUUUCCCUGACCCCCAGCCCGCCCUGUCAUCAGGGCAGGGCUUUCCCUG